GCCAAUCAGAACUCUUGUUAUAUUUGCCUUUUGGUGCGAAACUGGUUUGUUUGGAAAAAAUGGCUGCUGCCAUGAUGGUGCCUUUUUCACAUCUUCUGCAAGUUUAUGUGACGACCUGUUUAAAGUUUAACAUUGACACGCGGAGAUGAUGCCAAUGAUUCACCAUUAGAAGAUAUGACGGUAACAGUGGUCCAGAACUUGGCUCAACCAGAGUUCCACCAACAUUGCAACAUGCACACAACCAGCAAAACAUACCAAGACUGCCGAAUGUUUGGUCAGGAAAAAGCAUCCCA